rnacentral:rRNA from 1 species
GACGAACGCUGGCGGCGUGCCUAAUACAUGCAAGUCGAGCGAAGCGGCGGAUGGGUGAGUAACGCGUGGGUAAACUGCCAUUAAGUCUGGGAGACCAUUUGGCAACAGAUGCUAAUACCGGAUACUAACGGAUGGACCUGCGAUGAAUUAGCUAGUUGGGAAGGUAACGGCUUACCAAGUCGAUGAUUCAUAGCCGAGGUGAGGGACUGAUUGGCCAAAUUGGGACUGAGACACGGUCCAAACUCCUACGGGAGGCAGCAGUAGGGAAUCGUCCACAAUGGAAGAAAGUCUGAUGGAGCAAGGCCGCGUGAGUGAAGAAGGUUUUCGGAUCGUAAAGCUCUGUUGUUGGUGAAGCGUUAAUCAACCAGAAAGUCACGGCUAACUACGUGCCAGCAGCCGCGGUAAUUC